ACACAUGCAGUCGAGCGGCAGCACGGGUACUUGUACCUGGUGGCGAGCGGCGGACGGGUGAGUAAUGCCUAGGAAUCUGCCUAGUAGUGGGGGAUAACGUCCGGAAACGGGCGCUAAUACCGCAUACGUCCUACGGGAGAAAGUGGGGGAUCUUCGGACCUCACGCUAUUAGAUGAGCCUAGGUCGGAUUAGCUAGUUGGUGAGGUAAUGGCUCACCAAGGCGACGAUCCGUAACUGGUCUGAGAGGAUGAUCAGUCACACUGGAACUGAGACACGGUCCAGACUCCUACGGGAGGCGGCAGUGGGGAAUAUUGGACAAUGGGCGAAAGCCUGAUCCAGCCAUGCCGCGUGUGUGAAGAAGGUCUUCGGAUUGUAAAGCACUUUAAGUUGGGAGGAAGGGCAGUUACCUAAUACGUGAUUGUUUUGACGUUACCGACAGAAUAAGCACCGGCUAACUCUGUGCCAGCAGCCGCGGUAAUACAGAGGGUGCAAGCGUUAAUCGGAAUUACUGGGCGUAAAGCGCGCGUAGGUGGUUUGUUAAGUUGGAUGUGAAAGCCCCGGGCUCAACCUGGGAACUGCAUCCAAAACUGGCAAGCUAGAGUAUGGUAGAGGGUGGUGGAAUUUCCUGUGUAGCGGUGAAAUGCGUAGAUAUAGGAA
rnacentral:rRNA from 1 species